UUGAAUGCGAAUUGAUUUAUGUUCGGAUACAUUGACUUAGAAUUGAUUCUUAAAAAUUAAUGUUGUUUGGAUAG
rfam:Medicago truncatula strain A17 chromosome 6, whole genome shotgun sequence.